AACGAACGUUGGCGGCGUGCUUAACACAUGCAAGUCGAACGAGAACGGUUUCUUCGGAGACCUAGUAAAGUGGCGCACGGGUGAGUAACGCGUAGAUAACCUGUCCAGGUGUUCAGGAUAGCCCUUCGAAAGGGGGAUUAAUACCGGAUACGUUAGUCUGUUAUAAGACAGAUUAAGAAAGGUGGUCUCUAUUUAUAAGCUAUCGCAUUUGGAGGGGUCUGCGUACCAUUAGUUUGUUGGUGGGGUAAUGGCCUACCAAGGCAUCGAUGGUUAGCGGGUCUGAGAGGAUGAUCCGCCACACUGGAACUGGAACACGGACCAGACUCCUACGGGAGGCAGCAGUGAGGAAUAUUGCGCAAUGGGGGCAACCCUGACGCAGCGACGCCGCGUGGAUGAUGAAGGCCUUCGGGUCGUAAAAUCCUGUCAGAUGGAAAGAAGUGCUAUAUGGAUAAUACCUGUAUAGCUUGACGGUACCAUCAAAGGAAGCACCGGCUAACUCCGUGCCAGCAGCCGCGGUAAUACGGAGGGUGCAAGCGUUGUUCGGAAUUACUGGGCGUAAAGCGCGCGUAGGUGGUCUGUUAUGUCAGAUGUGAAAGUCCACGGCUCAACCGUGGAAGUGCAUUUGAAACUGGCAGACUUGAGUACUGGAGGGGGUAGUGGAAUUCCCGGUGUAGAGGUGAAAUUCGUAGAUAUCGGGAGGAAUACCGGUGGCGAAGGCGACUACCUGGCCAGAUACUGACACUGAGGUGCGAAAGCGUGGGGAGCAAACAGGAUUAGAUACCCUGGUAGUCCACGCCGUAAACGAUGUCGACUAGGCGUUGGGAUGGUUAAUCGUCUCAUUGCCGGAGCUAACGCAUUAAGUUGACCGCCUGGGGAGUACGGUCGCAAGAUUAAAACUCCAAGGAAUUGACGG
rnacentral:rRNA from 1 species